rnacentral:misc_RNA from 1 species
GUCACAGAAAGAAACGAAGGGAAGCGGAGAGAGAGAGAAACAGAGAGAGCAGAAGAGAAGGAAUCGUCGAAAUAGUGGAGUUUGAAUUGUGGCAAUAACACGUGAAAAAAGAGGGUAUAUAUGGCAAAUGUCUAAUCUGCGGUAAUUUGCCUACCACUAAGGAGAUGAUGACACGUGGUGGUUCCAUCCCCGCACGAUUAUAAUCUAGGCAACCUUUCUUUUUUCACAAUAGUUUGGCAGAGAAUAUGCGAUUUCCAGAGAAAAACUAAGGAAAAAAAGAAAGGGAAUAAUAGUCAACGUAUUCCUUUUAGAU